UCCCCUUCUCUCUUUAUAUUUCCCUCUCUAGCACAAAUAAAAACACAAUCUUUCCCUGUCUAACUACAUACAAAACUCUUUCUUUUCUUUUUUUCUUUUAGUUUUUGAGAGAGAGACCCAGUAGAUAGAAAUCUUCUAUCUUCUAUCUUCUGUCUCUCCUUUUUUUUUUUUUUUAAGUUUGGAGAAGAUCUAAGCUCCUCUAAUGGAUUUGCAAUAACACCCACUUUUUUAUUAGCCGCGUAAUUAUGAUUUUUUUUAAGCUUAUUUGCUGGGUGUGUGUUUUGAUAGAGUCAGUCUCUUGGACUCUAUGAAAUUUGUCAAUGGUGUCUGUCGAAUGAUUGAAUCUAUGGGAAUUCUUGAGUAUAUGAGAUAGUAGGAUAUGGGUAUGAGGUAAUAUUUAUUUAUUUUGCAUUUUCUUUCAAUCUAAUUUGAUUCACGGUUUUUCCUUGUUUGGCUCUUUGAUUAAUUAGCUUUUAAUUUGUUUCAUGCUUUUAGUAGUAAGUAGUCUUGAUUUUGAGUUUGAUAAAUUGUUGGGAUUAUUGCUUGAUCUGGGGAUUAAAACAAAAGACACUUUCUAGAUCUGGGGAUUUUAGUUAAGUUUGAUUUUUGGGUUUUUCUUAUUUGAUGAUUUGGUUAAUUAAGUUUUAAUUUGUUUCAUGCUUUUAUUAAUAAGUAGUUUUGAGUUUGAGUUUGAUAUAUUGUCGGGUUUAUUGCCUGAUAUGGGGGAUUAAAACAAAAGAUCACCUGUUUCAUCUUGGGGAUUAAAAUAAAAAGACACCUGUUUGAUCUGGGAGGUAGUGAAGCACCAUCACAAACCCCAUCUUUUAGCAGACAAGGUAAUUGUCCAGUUUUAGAUUCUGGGACCCACGUGAAAUAACAUAUAGCUCUGGUACUGAUAUGUAAAACAAAAACAUGUUUGAUCUGGGAUGCUGGUGAACUUGAGAGUUGAGAGCAUUUUUGGGCCUUCUAGGGUUUUGAUUCGUCAUGAACUCAUGGGCCCAUGGAGAGGGCAUCUUUUUCCUGUUUAAAAACGAUAUACCCAAGAUGGAGCAGAUUGCAAUGAUCUGGGGAGAAACAAUGAGAGAGACCUUUGUAGAUGAGAUGAUCUGGCUAAAAGUCUUUUUUGGGCUUCUGCGGCCGCUUUUUACCUUUAACAACAAUCGGGUAUUGCUAACUUUCCUGUUUUUAUUUUUACUGUUCAAUCUUCCAGUUCCAAAUUCUCAUACCCUAACUUGCAAUGCUCCUGCGCCUAGCAUUAGAUUUAUUGUGAGGAAUGGCAUAUGAUGUUUAUAUUUUAAACAUCUCUAUUAACUGCCUCUGAAACUUGAUUUUGCUUUUUUAUGUUUUGGUGUUCAAACUUGGCAUUUAACUGCUUUGUAUGAAAUCUAAUUGCUGGUGCCAUAAUAAAUGUUGGAUAUUUACAAUUAUAAUGCUUGGAUGGAUAUUAUUUGCAAAGACAGGUGGAAGGAUAUUGUUUUGCAAAGGCAAGUGGAUGAGGUUAAAAUACAAUGGUCAGCCAAGGUUACGCUUCUGACUUUCAUAGUCAUAACAUCCUGAUCAAUGGCCAUUGUAAGAGUAGAAGGAUCCAUGAAGCAAAACAUUGACUCCUGAUAUUCCACUCUUACAGAGUCCAUUGAUUAAGAUGUUAUAACAUUGUUCUGAAAGGAUUUCUUCUCAAAAACUGCACAUCAUGUGUUGUGCAAGAUCUCAACGAAAAAGGUUUGGAUCUGGUAUCAGAUGGAAAAAUUAUAGUGUUUCUACUAGGAGAUUCUCAAAAUGGAAAUUUCAAUCGAAAUAUCUUUUUCAGCUCAGCAGUGCUGUGGUGGUCUUUCUUUAAAAACAGCUAUGCUGCUACAACUCAUCCUCUUGAAUUCUUUUUGAAGUUUGAUGAUCGAGACGAUGUUGCAUUACAGGAUACAGAUUCUCACUUCUGUAUCUCAAUUAUCUGUGUCCUGGUGAGAUACUUCUCAUCCGUGAAGAGAUAAGUCAAGUUCAAGAAGAACCUUUUUCCCCUUGUAAUUGUGUGAUCUUCAUGUAAAUUCUGACGAAGAUAGAAUCAUAACUUGAGAGCUCUGAAAUGUUAUAGCAUCUAUUAUUUCAUCUCAACAGCACAUGCAUCUUUCUAUCUGAUCAUUGUUCACAUUUCCUAUGUUUUGAUCAUGUAACUAUGUGACAAUCAAAAAAUGAUGGGCACGUGCUGCUUAAUCAACUGAAGUUAGCUUGUCAUUAUAUGGUCUCUUAUGCUACCACUCGAAACCUAUAUAUCAUAGCCAAAUUUAGUUGCAAUCAGAUUAAAGACCAUGAUAUUUACCAAAAGUGUUGUUUGUUGUCUUGUGUGUAUACAUGCACUCACUUUCUUCCGUUAGUUUAUUCAGCCUUCCCUUUACACUGAUGUUGAUAAAAAAUUGAGCCCAAACAUGUAUGUGUUGCUUUACUCAUGAGAUUGACUACCUCUUCUGCAUUCAUGUGUUGUAUGUGUAGGUGCUGCAGAAGGUAUGAGGUGAUUUGAAGGUCAAAGAAAUGGAAUGAAUUCAAUGCCUGCGAUGAAUAUGGGAGGGAUCUUAUAGUUCAGAGAAAAAUUGUGGAGUCUCAUUGAACAUUUUGGCGAUUUUAUGAUUUAGUUUUGCAUGUUGGAUGAGUGCCCAAUAAUUGGCCCUUAAUUUUGUUUCUAGUCAGCAGAGGUGGUCUGCAGACAAGUAGUUUUUGGCCGAUUGGCUGCUUCUAUCUAUACUUUUUACCAAUGAGAUUUCAAUUGAACAAGGUAUUGCUCAA